GGUUGUGAUCAUACCAGCGCUAAUGCACCGGAUCCCAUCAGAACUCCGCAGUUAAGCGUGCUUGGGCGAGAGUAGUACUAGGAUGGGUGACCCCCUGGGAAGUCCUCGUGUUGCAACCC
rnacentral:rRNA from 1 species